rnacentral:lncRNA from 1 species
CUGAAUAGAGCAAGAAAUUUAAAAACUUGAUAGCAAAGGCAGCAUAUUAACACUGCUGGGGAAAUAUAGCUUUUACCUCUUUCCCUUGUUAACAGUAUAAUCAGAUGUAUGGGCACUGUCUGUUUUCAUUUUCUGCUUUUUUAAUAUACUUUAGAAAUUAUCUUUUCUGAGGAGAUCACAGUAUUUUCAUUAGCAGAAAUGCAUUAAAGCAUUGGUUUCUAAUGUCCUUUUAUAUCUAGCCUUCUUAAAAUGCAGAUUUGUGUGACUGACACCUUGAAGACUAAUGUUGUCAGAUGAAAUGUACCCGGAGCAAUAUUUCAGCACAGCUCUAGCUGGAACCAUGUUCCUGGAAAAGAUCCAGGAAUGAUUUAUUGAAGGCCAUGGUGUGCACAGGUAAAUA